UACGUAGGGUGCAAGCGUUAAUCGGAAUUACUGGGCGUAAAGCGUGCGCAGGCGGUUUUGUAAGUCUGUCGUGAAAUCCCCGGGCUCAACCUGGGAAUUGCGAUGGAGACUGCAAGGCUAGAAUCUGGAAGAGGGGGGUAGAAUUCCACGUGUAGCAGUGAAAUGCGUAGAGAUGUGGAGGAACACCGAUGGCGAAGGCAGCCCCCUGGGUCAAGAUUGACGCUCAUGCACGAAAGCGUGGGGAGCAAACAGG
rnacentral:rRNA from 1 species